CGGCCCCAAGCCUGCUGGAAAAGCCAGGUUUUCACCAUUUUCUGGAAGGCCAGCAGGGUGGGAGCGGUUCUGGCUCAGGAGGUAGCUGAUUCCAGAGAGCCGGAGCAGCCACAGAGAAGGCCCUCCCCCGCAGACCCACCAGGCGACAUUGUUUAGCUGACGGGACCCAGAGGCGGCCAACUCUGUGGGAUCUUACCGGUCGUUGGGAACUAUGCGGUAGAAGACGGUCUCGAAUUAAAGAAAACCCUUUCCAAAGAGAUUGCCAGCCUUGAGGACAGGAUGGAACUGAAGUUUUUUGACUGUGGACUGCUAUCAUCAUUGCCGGACCUUCGCAGACAACGCAUCUACAGUGUGUCUCAAACAUAAUUGUAGGUGAAGAUCUUCAAGCCAAACAGCUAUGAAAUACUUGUUUUGAAUCUUUAUAUUUAAUGACCAGCCCUGUCAAGGAAGUAAGCUAACAAGAACGAGACACAUAGAAAGAAUCUUUGGACUUUACCCAGGACAGAAACUGGUUGAUUUUACACUGGAAUUUUCCUAACUGGAUCUAAUCCCUUGAAUACACUGUCAAAAGAGAUCACUGGCUGAGAAUCUCCAUGGCAACUAGCAAGAAUGUGCAACCUGUUUUGGCUCUUUUUGAAGUAUGCCUCUUUUUUCCUUUCUAGGAAAAUUUAAAUAAUUUAAAUAAAUUUUGAGGGUUUUUUUUUUUUUUUUUUUUUUUGUAAAUAAUGUGGGUUUCUUUCUAGGUUUAGAAUCCCAAGUUUAAAUUUAAGGCUUUUUGCCUGCUAGCUCCUACUUUAUAAAUUGUGCAAAACGUAAUCCAGCUUGAUU